CGAGUCUGUACCCUCUGUGUCCUCUAUAAUGUUCAGUCCCUGUGGGAGCCCAAACAGUAUCAAAAUCUGUUGAGCUUGAACUGUGUUUGGUGACUAUUGUCACUGGUUCCACGCGGAGGCUCAGCCGGAACCAGUUCCCAGAGCAGAUAUAUAACAGACAGUCCCCCAAACCAGGGCUGUUAUGAAGAAGCAGACAGUGACAAAGUGACGAGGUAAAGGAGACUCUGAUUUCAUGUGUCUUUUAUUUCACCACUGCCCUUUAAUUUCUGUUACCUCUGCAGGGCAACCCAACUGAGUAAGUAAUUCAGCUCAAACCACAACCUUGAGCCCAGCACAGUCCCAGGCUCUGAAAUGCAUGAGAUAAGUAAGACACUUAGGAGUUCAUAAUGUAUAAGAACAGAAAAAUGGAAUCACAAACACUCAAUACAGUUUUUUUUUUAAGUAGAAAAACACUAACGAAUACUAUUAGCGAUAGUUAAUCUUUAUUGAGUUGUUGCUUGUGGCCAGGUGCUGCUCUCCGCAUUUUGCAUGGAUUAACUCGUUCAUCAUAACGUAAGGCACUCUCCGUUAUAGAGCUAAGCUUUGGGGAGCAAAGUUAGCCCAGUUAGCCCACACUGACGUUAGUGCAAAGCCAGCGCCCGGCUUUCUGCACCAGUUUCGGCCUGUGAUGCGCCCGCCCACUUGUCAGAGCGUCUGCAAUCUGGAGAGAAUUUCUUAGCAAUCAUUUUCCAGUGACGGAAAAUCCUAGCCCUGGGAGGACUGCUAUCCACUGAUACUGCAAGAAGUCUUUGGGUGACUGUGAAAAAUGAGUUCCCUUCUGAUUUUUACCAACCUUUGUUUUUCGAAUCUUCCUUUUAAGAGACAGAAUUGGGCUUGAUCGCGGCGUGGGGUCAGGUCACCGAUGAAAGGAGCAGCGUCAGGGAGAAAUGGUUCUCGUGACAGCUGUUUACCCGCCACGGAGGAGUUCCAGGAAUGUACCGUCACAAGCAGAUGGUGCAAUUUGGCGGUGGGCAAGCUGUCGGUCCAGGCGGCCUGUGCUGAUCUGAAGGGGGAAAUCGCUCUGCUUUGCUACAGCGAGAGCACAGGCGCCCAUCUCUCUUACCCUGACCCAGCUGCCAGAUUCCAGCCAAGCCUUAUGGGGGGCUCCGUUGCCACACAACAAAGCCAUGGCCUUUAUUUUGCCGCUGACGGGAGAAGCGUGAAGAAGAUCACGAAAACGGCUUGGUGGACGGGAGGGAGUGCUGUCCUCGGAGUCUGGGGAUGA
rnacentral:lncRNA from 1 species